rnacentral:rRNA from 1 species
AUUGAACGCUGGCGGCAGGCCUAACACAUGCAAGUCGAGCGAGCGGCGGACGGGUGAGUAAUGUCUGGGAAAAUGCCUGAUGGAGGGGGAGAACUACUGGAAACGGUAGCUAAUAUCGCAUACCAUCAGAUGUGCCCAGAUGGGAUUAGCUAGUAGGGGGGGUAAGGGCUCACCUAGGCGACGAUACCUAGCUGGUCUGAGAGGAUGACCAGCCACACUGGAACUGAGACACGGUCCAGACUCCUACGGGAGGUAGCAGUGGGGAAUAUUGCACAAUGGGCGCAAGCCUGAUGCAGCCAUGCCGCGUGUGUGAAGAAGUCCUUCGGGUUGUAAAGCACUUUCAGCGGGGAGGCGUUACCCGCAGAAGAAGCACCGGCUAACUCCGUGCCAGCAGCCGCGGUAAUAC